rnacentral:rRNA from 1 species
GAUGAACGCUGGCGGUGUGCCUAACACAUGCAAGUCGAGCGACCAGACGAGGAGCUUGCUCUUUUGACGUUAGCGGCGGACGGGUGAGUAAGACGUAGAUCACCUUCUUCUAAGUCUGGGAUAAUUUCGGGGAAACGGAGACACUAAUAGCUCAUACAUUCAACCGCAUGAAUCAAUAGUGCUUGACGGCUUUCCCGUUACUUUUAGCCGGUUUCGCGUCGCAUUAGCUAGUUGGUAAGGUAACGGCACACCAAGGCGACGAUGCGUAGCUGACCUGAGAGGAUGAUCAGCCACACUGGAACUGAGACACGGUCCAGACUCCUACGGGAGGCAGCAGUGGGGAAUCUUGCACAAUGGGCGAAAGCCUGACGGAGCAACACCGCGUGAGUGAAGAAGGUCUUCGGGUCGUAAAGCUCUUUUAUUAGGAAAGAAAAAAAGUAGGUGAAACUAUGGACGUCUUGACGGUACCUAAAGAGAAAGCCACGGCUAACUUCGUG